rnacentral:rRNA from 1 species
UAACCUGCCUUAUAGUGGGGGAUAGCCUUUCGAAAGGAAGAUUAAUACCGCAUAAGAUUGUAGUAUCGCAUGAUAUAGCAAUUAAAAGGAGGCAAUUCGCUAUAAGAUGGACCCGCGUCGCAUUAGCUAGUUGGUGAGGUAAUGGCUCACCAAGGCGACGAUGCGUAGCCGACCUGAGAGGGUGAUCGGCCACAUUGGGACUGAGACACGGCCCAGACUCCUACGGGAGGCAGCAUG